UUCGCAAUGCCCGAAAGGGUGACGAAGCGACGCCGCGUGGGUGAGGAAGGCCCUCGGGUUGUAAAGCCCUGUCAGGAGUUAAGAAAUGUAAGUGCGCUAAUAUCGCAUUUAUUUGACGAAGGCUCCAAAGGAAGUCACGGCUAACUCUGUGCCAGCAGCCGCGGUAAUACAGAGGUGGCAAGCGUUGUUCGGAAUUAUUGGGCGUAAAGAGCACGUAGGUGGGUUUGUAAGUCAGAUGUGAAAGCCUUCUGUUCAACGGAAGAAUUGCAUCUGAAACUGCGAGUCUUGAGUGUAGGAGGGGAGAAUGGAACUUCUGGUGGAGCGGUGAAAUGCGUAGAUAUCAGAAGGAACGCCGGCGGCGAAAGCAAUUCUCUGGCCUAUUACUGACACUCAGUGUGCGAAAGCUAGGGGAGCAAACGGGAUUAGAUACCCCGGUAGUCCUAGCCGUAAACGAUGGGCACUAAGUAGAGGGGUUUU
rnacentral:rRNA from 1 species